rnacentral:rRNA from 1 species
AGAGUUUGAUUCUGGCUCAGACGAACGCUGGCGGCGUGCUUAACACAUGCAAGUCGAACGGAAAGGCCCUUCGGGGUACUCGAGUGGCGAACGGGUGAGUAACACGUGGGUGAUCUGCCCUGCACUUUGGGAUAAGCCUGGGAAACUGGGUCCAAUACCGAAUACACCCUUCUGGCUGCAUGGUCUGGUUGGGGAAAGCUUUUGCGGUGUGGGAUGGGCCCGCGGCCUAUCAGCUUGUUGGUGAGGUUACGGCUCACCAAGGCGACGACGGGUAGCCGGCCUGAGAGGGUGACCGGCCACACUGGGACUGAGAUACGGCCCAGACUCCUACGGGAGGCAGCAGUGGGGAAUAUUGCACAAUGGGCGCAAGCCUGAUGCAGCGACGCCGCGUGAGGGAUGACGGCCUUCGGGUUGUAAACCUCUCUCGCCAGGGACGAAGCGCAAGUGACGGUACCUGGAGAAGAAGGACCGGCCAACUACGUGCCAGCAGCCGCGGUAAUACGUAGGGUCCGAGCGUUGUCCGGAAUUACUGGGCGUAAAGAGCUCGUAGGUGGUUUGUCGCGUUGUUCGUGAAAACUCACAGCUCAACUGUGGGCGUGCGGGCGAUACGGGCAGACUGGAGUACUGCAGGGGAGACUGGAAUUCCUGGUGUAGCGGUGGAAUGCGCAGAUAUCAGGAGGAACACCGGUGGCGAAGGCGGGUCUCUGGGCAGUAACUGACGCUGAGGAGCGAAAGCGUGGGGAGCGAACAGGAUUAGAUACCCUGGUAGUCCACGCCGUAAACGGUGGGUACUAGGUGUGGGUUUCCUUCCUUGGGAUCCGUGCCGUAGCUAACGCAUUAAGUACCCCGCCUGGGGAGUACGGCCGCAAGGCUA